rnacentral:rRNA from 1 species
AACGAACGCUGGCGGCAGGCCUAACACAUGCAAGUCGAGCGGACAUCUUCGGAUGUUAGCGGCGGACGGGUGAGUAACGCGUGGGAACGUGCCCUUUGCUUCGGAAUAGCCUCGGGAAACUGGGAGUAAUACCGGAUGUACCCUUUGGGGGAAAGAUUUAUCGGCAAAGGAUCGGCCCGCGUUGGAUUAGGUAGUUGGUGGGGUAAUGGCCUACCACGCCGACGAUCCAUAGCUGGUUUGAGAGGAUGAUCAGCCACACUGGGACUGAGACACGGCCCAGACUCCUACGGGAGGCAGCAGUGGGGAAUCUUAGACAAUGGGGGAAACCCUGAUCUAGCCAUGCCGCGUGAGCGAUGAAGGCCUUAGGGUUGUAAAGCUCUUUCACCGGGGAAGAUAAUGACGGUACCCGGAGAAGAAGCCCCGGCUAACUCCGUG